AUUGAACGCUGGCGGCAUGCUUUACACAUGCAAGUCGAACGGUAACAGGCCGCAAGGUGCUGACGAGUGGCGAACGGGUGAGUAAUGAAUCGGAACGUGCCCAGUCGUGGGGGAUAACUACUCGAAAGAGUAGCUAAUACCGCAUACGAUCUAUGGAUGAAAGCGGGGGACCGUAAGGCCUCGCGCGAUUGGAGCGGCCGAUGUCAGAUUAGGUAGUUGGUGGGGUAAAGGCUCACCAAGCCAACGAUCUGUAGCUGGUCUGAGAGGACGACCAGCCACACUGGGACUGAGACACGGCCCAGACUCCUACGGGAGGCAGCAGUGGGGAAUUUUGGACAAUGGGCGCAAGCCUGAUCCAGCAAUGCCGCGUGCAGGAAGAAGGCCUUCGGGUUGUAAACUGCUUUUGUACGGAACGAAACGGCUCUGGUUAAUACCCGGGGCUAAUGACGGUACCGUAAGAAUAAGCACCGGCUAACUACGU
rnacentral:rRNA from 1 species